CGAGCCUGGACAAAGUAAUAGCAGGAUUUGGCGUGUAAAUGAUAAUAGCUACCUGUCCUAAAUUGAAGGUCCGUGUUGUUCAGCCAUUCUCUUUAAGUUCUUAUCAAAUCUGAAAUUCGAGCUCUUUAAGAAACAUUUUAUUGAUUGAAAUAUCUCCACUAACAGCUAUACCAAAGAAGCCACGAGAGUAAUGUCAACUGCUCCCACCCACACUUUCAAGUGCAAAGUCACUAAACUCACCCCCUCUGGAGCCUGGGACACGAAUGGGAGAAGAGCACGCUUGUUGUUCGGAUGCAACAUGAACUCAUCGGUCGUCUGGUAUGACUGUGUCAGCAACUGUGGUGUGACAAGAAUCAAUAACCUAUGCGAUGAGAAGUUCCUGACAGGAAAAGGAACGGACGAUUCGACUUCCAACGUGUUAAUUUUCACUGACAAAGAAGACAAUCGUACCCGACAUUACUUGUUCCCAGACGCAGCACAAGCAGAGUUAGCAUUGGCAAUCAUGACUAAAAAAGACACGGAGGAAGCGAAAGAAACUGAGAGGGAAACUUGAGAAAAUGACCAAGAAUGACAUUAAUAAGUGCGCACCAAGAAAGCAAAACAAUUGAAACUAAGAAAAAAUUGCAAGUAAACUGGAUCUAACCGACAAAGUUUCGAACA